rnacentral:rRNA from 1 species
CACGUAGGGGGCAAGCGUUGUCCGGAUUUAUUGGGCGUAAAGAGCUCGUAGGCGGUUCGGUAAGUCGGGUGUGAAACCUCCAGGCUCAACCUGGAGACGCCACCCGAUACUGCUGUGACUAGAGUCCGGAAGAGGAGAAUGGAAUUCCUGGUGUAGCGGUGAAAUGCGCAGAUAUCAGGAAGAACACCCGUGGCGAAGGCGGUUCUCUGGGACGGUACUGACGCUGAGACGCGAAAGCGUGGGGAGCGAACAGG